UACGUAGGGUGCGGGCGUUGUCCGGAAUUAUUGGGCGUAAAGAGCUCGUAGGCGGUUUGUCGCGUCGACUGUGAAAACCCGCGGCUUAACCGCGGGCUUGCAGUUGAUACGGGCAGGCUAGAGUUCGGUAGGGGAGACUGGAAUUCCUGGUGUAGCGGUGAAAUACGCAGAUAUCAGGAGGAACACCGGUGGCGAAGGCGGGUCUCUGGGCCGAUACUGACGCUGAGGUGCGAAAGCGUGGGGAGCAAACAGG
rnacentral:rRNA from 1 species